GAUGAACGCUGGCGGCGUGCUUAACACAUGCAAGUCGAACGGAAAGGCCCAAGCUUGCUUGGGUACUCGAGUGGCGAACGGGUGAGUAACACGUGGGUGAUCUGCCCUGCACUUCGGGAUAAGCCUGGGAAACUGGGUCUAAUACCGGAUAGGACCACUUCUUGGAUGUUGUGGUGGAAAGUUUUUUCGGUGUGGGAUGAGCUCGCGGCCUAUCAGCUUGUUGGUGAGGUAAUGGCCUACCAAGGCGUCGACGGGUAGCCGGCCUGAGAGGGUGUACGGCCACAUUGGGACUGAGAUACGGCCCAGACUCCUACGGGAGGCAGCAGUGGGGAAUAUUGCACAAUGGGCGCAAGCCUGAUGCAGCGACGCCGCGUGGGGGAUGACGGCCUUCGGGUUGGAAACUCCUUUCGCUAGGGACGAAGCGUUUUGUGACGGUACCUGGAGAAGAAGCACCGGCUAACUACGUG
rnacentral:rRNA from 1 species